UACGGGAGGCAGCAGUGGGGAAUAUUGCACAAUGGGCGCAAGCCUGAUGCAGCCAUGCCGCGUGUAUGAAAAAGGCCUUCGGGUUGUAAAGUACUUUCAGUCGUGAGGAAGGUGUUAAGGUUAAUAACCUUAGCAAUUGACGUUAGCGACAGAAGAAGCACCGGCUAACUCCGUGCCAGCAGCCGCGGUAAUACGGAGGGUGCGAGCGUUAAUCGGAAUUACUGGGCGUAAAGGGCACGCAGGCGGUUAAUUAAGUUGGAUGUGAAAUCCCCGGGCUUAACCUGGGAAUGGCAUUCAAGACUGGUUAGCUAGAGUCUUGUAGAGGGGGUAGAAUUCCAUGUGUAGCGGUGAAAUGCGUAGAGAUGUGGAGGAAUACCGGUGGCGAAGGCGGCCCCUGGACAAAGACUGACGCUCAUGUGCGAAAGCGUGGGGAGCAAACAGGGAUUGGAUACC
rnacentral:rRNA from 1 species